rnacentral:rRNA from 1 species
ACGAACGCUGGCGGCGUGCUUAACACAUGCAAGUCGAACGGAAAGGCCCUGCUUUUGUGGGGUGCUCGAGUGGCGAACGGGUGAGUAACACGUGAGUAACCUGCCCUUGACUUGGGGAUAACUUCAGGAAACUGGGGCUAAUACCGGAUAGGAGCUCCUGCUGCAUGGUGGGGGGUGGAAAGUUUCGGCGGUUGGGGAUGGACUCGCGGCUUAUCAGCUUGUUGGUGGGGUAGUGGCUUACCAAGGCGUUGACGGGUAGCCGGCCUGAGAGGGUGACCGGCCACAUUGGGACUGAGAUACGGCCCAGACUCCUACGGGAGGCAGCAGUGGGAAAUAUUGCACAAUGGGCGGAAGCCUGAUGCAGCAACGCCGCGUGCGGGAUGACGGCCUUCGGGUUGUAACCCGCUUUCGCCUGUGACGAAGCGUGAGUGACGGUAAUGGGUAAAGAAGCACCGGCUAACUACGUG